rnacentral:rRNA from 1 species
AGAACGAACGCUGGCGGCAUGCCUAAUACAUGCAAGCCGAACGAACUCUUCGGAGUUAGUGGCGCACGGGUGCGUAACGCGUGGGAAUCUGCCCCUUGGUUCGGAAUAACAGUUGGAAACGACUGCUAAUACCGGAUGAUGACGAAAGUCCAAAGAUUUAUCGCCAAGGGAUGAGCCCGCGUAGGAUUAGCUAGUUGGUGAGGUAAAGGCUCACCAAGGCAACGAUCCUUAGCUGGUCUGAGAGGAUGAUCAGCCAUACUGGGACUGAGACACGGCCCAGACUCCUACGGGAGGCAGCAGUAGGGAAUAUGGACAAUGGGCGAAAGCCUGAUCCAGCAAUGCCGCGUGAGUGAUGAAGGCCUUAGGUUGUAAAGCUCUUUACCCGAGAUGAUAAUGACAGUAUCGGAAGAAUAACGCCCGGCUAACCGUCCGUGCCAGCACGCCGC